GGAGGAGUGUCCGAGUGGUUGAAGGAGGCGGUCUUGAAAACCGUUGAACCUUUGCGGGUUCCGUGGGUUCGAAUCCUACCUCCUCCGCCA
rnacentral:tRNA from 1 species